rnacentral:rRNA from 1 species
AUCCGGUGCUUGCACCGGGGAUUAGUGGCGAACGGGUGAGUAACACGUGAGUAACCUGCCCUUAACUCUGGGAUAAGCCUGGGAAACUGGGUCUAAUACCGGAUAUGACUCCUCAUCGCAUGGUGGGGGGUGGAAAGCUUUAUUGUGGUUUUGGAUGGGCCCGCGGCCUAUCAGCUUGUUGGUGGGGUAACGGCCCACCAAGGCGGCGACGGGUAGUUGGCGUGAGAGCGUGGCCAACCACACUGGGACUGAGACACGGCCCAGACUCCUACGGGAGGCAGCAGUGGGGAAUAUUGCGCAAUGAGCGAAAGCUUGACGCAGCGACACCGCGUGCGGGAUGAAGGCCCUCGGG